rnacentral:misc_RNA from 1 species
GAUGAAGAACGUUGCGAAAUGCGAUAAGUAAUGUGAAUUGCAGAAUUCAGUGAAUCAUCGAAUCUUUGAACGCACAUUGCGCCCGCCAGUAUUCUGGCGGGCAUGCCUGUUCGAGCGUCAUUACAACCCUCAGGCCCCCGGGCCUGGCGUUGGGGAUCGGCGGAAGCCCCCUGCGGGCACAACGCCGUCCCCCAAAUACAGUGGCGGUCCCGCCGCAGCUUCCAUUGCGUAGUAGCUAACACCUCGCAACUGGAGAGCGGCGCGGCCACGCCGUAAAACACCCAACUUCUGAAUGUUGACCUCGAAUCAGGUAGGAAUACCCGCUGAACUUAAGCAUAUCAAUAAGCGGAGGA